CGAUUUGAUUGUAUUAAUUUUAUUGCAGGUCCAGAUGGCGUUACAGACCGCUUUUUUAUUGUUUUAGGCCGUUGGCCCUCUAAUUGUUGCAUAGAGGGCAGGCCUGUAGUCAUUGAGUUUUAGGCCUGAAAUUACGGCCGUUUAGUAAUCGUCUGUAGCUGUCAGUUGACAUAUUGCGUCUUGACUUUUACUCUUCUUUGAUGUGAAUCUUUGUGCUUUUCCGUGGCUUUUAAAGGAUAAGGAUUGCCCGGAAUUUCAUGUUGCCUGUCUGUAGACUUGAAUUGAGGUGCAUGAGAAGCACAUGUGGAAUUGACACUAUUUGUCUUCCCAUUGAGUUGAAAAGGCCUGCGUUGCAGGAUUGAGUAUUGACUCACCCAAGCCUGGUCACUUCCAGGAUUGGUGAUAGCUUUUGAAUUGUUGUUUUGACACAGUGUGCCUUACACCCACACUUUGACGUGUUUUGAAGUGAAAUACAGUCCACUUCCUACCACCGAGCUACCAUCUGGUCCUUCGAGCCGGAGCUUUGAAUCAAAAUUGAAUUGACCUUGGACUGACCUUGAUUCGAAGCCUUGAUUGAAAAUGGCCAACCCUCCAGUAUCAACAUGGACAUUGGAUGUCUGCAAAGGACGACAAAAGGUUGUCCGUUCCCGCAUCACUGGCUGUCACACUCGCAUCAACCACAUCGUGACAGCUGGAUUAUCUCGUCGUGAUGCUGAGAAGCUUCUAGCUGACGCAAGAGUCCUUUUGGGCGAAUUGGAAACGAUUCACGAUCGCGUUAUCGAGUUGGUAGACGACAACGACGUCUUGACCCAACAAAAUAAUCAACAUCAGCUGUAUGCCCAAACCAUCGACAACUGCUCAGCUUUAGUGGAAGAUUAUCUGCUCCUACGCCGAGACGAUGCUUCAUCAGUUGCUGUCGAGACCCCAGACCAGAUUGCACGUCGACAGGAAUUAGAGACCGCAUAUCAGCGUCUACGAGAUGCCCGAGCAGAAGUCGCAGCUGCUGAACAGGCCAUCAUUUAUCUAGGAGGAGAUGUUUUGCCUACAGACGGAUCGGAGUUGAACCCAUCCGACUCCGCGUCGCAAGUCGGAGCCAAGCCGACCAAGAAGAUUGAAUGUUAUCCAGCGGAAGCCCCUGAUGCUUGGAUUGAUACGUAUCUAGCCGGAAAGGAGAGACCGAUUGUUCGUGAGAAGGGAGCCAAAUCUUCGGUCAACGUUCAGCUGGAAGCUUAUACGGGCCGCGCACUUGAUUGGUUCUCUUGGAUAAGUAUGUGGUUCGCGCUGGUCCACAUUACGAGCAAGACUCCGAGCGAGAAGCUGGCCAUAUUGAAAAAUUAUUUGAAGGGCGACCUAGCUGACAUCGUACAUGGCCAUGGAGGAGGGGAAGCUGGAUACAAGGAGGUUCUACAGCGAUUGAAGAGCACGUGCGGGAGUCGGAAGGUGAUUCGAGCGGCCCAUCUGCGGGAAUUGGAUCGGAUGGAGGCGCCGCGUAAUGACCCGCAGUCUUUCAAACGCUUUUCUGAACGUGUGCGAACUCAUCUCUUCAACCUGUCGGUGAUUGGUGAGACGGGCCACGUUGACAUCAUCGAGAGACUGUCCCUCAAGCUGCAGCUUACCGAUCGUUUGGCCUGGAACAAUGGACGGGGAGGCGAAAUCGAUAAUCGGAACAUCAACGAUUUUGGCCGCUGGUUGACGGCUAGAGCAACGGACUAUCAGAAUGCUUAUGCAAUUGCGGAUGACCAGCAACGGUCGGCGAACGGAGGAAGUAGGAACGAUCGCCAACAACCAUCCCAGGUGCCAAAUAGAUUCCAGCAACCACAGCAGCAGAGAAGAAGUGCACGCACUUAUCAUGGAGCAUCAAGCUCCCAGAAGAAUUAUGGCUCGACUGAGCAGAAAGAGAAGAAACCGACUGAACCACACUGCUUUAAAUGUGAAGGAUCGCACCACCUUGAAGACUGUACCUUUUUCAAGGACCUUCCCAUCAGUGAUAGACUGACCUUUACACAACGUCGAGGAUUGUGUUAUGGCUGCUUCGGCGUCCGGCAUGGCUUCAUGAAUUGCACACUCAAGAAGGAGUGUGGCAUCGACGGAUGUAAGCUGUCCCAUCAUAAACUUCUCCACAAGGAGAAUGGUCCGGUAGAAAGAAAUGCCCGGCCUCACACUCUACGUUCCGACCGACGACAAAUAGCAUUCAAGAUGCUCCGCCUGGACGCGCUCGACGCCGACGGGGAGAUGGUGCCUGUGAACAUUUUGAUGGAUGAUGGAAGCGAUUCAACUCUCAUUCGCGAGGGGCUGACGCGUCGACUCCGGCUUACUGGCCAGCGGCAGACCUUAUUUGUAGGUGGCGUCGGUGAAGAAUCUUCCGUCCAUGUAAAUUCAGAGUACCUGGAGUUGCAGUUGAAGACGUCGGCGGGAGAGACAGUGUCGAUCCAGGGAUCUACUAUCCCCUCCAUCACCAAACCAGUACCGGUCAUGGAGUGGGAGAAACUACGCGGACGAUGGAGCCACAUGGAAGACUUGCCGCCGCUUCGAGACUGUGGUGGACGUGUCGACAUAUUGAUUGGAUUAGACCAUGCCGCACUCAUCACAGCGAGUGAAUCUCGAUUCGGAAAAGAUGACGAGCCGACCGCUUCCAAGACUAGACUGGGAUGGACACUGCAAGGAGCGGUAGCGACCAGUGGUGGACCCGAUAUCGUCCGGAUUCAUCAUGUACAGACCUCAGCUGAUUCCACUCUUCAACUCGCCGAACAAGUCAAACGGUUUUGUGAUACGGAGUCAUUUGGCACCGAAUUCCAAUCGGAAUGCAUGACGGCUGAACAUCGGAGGGCGGUGACCAAAUUGGAAGCGGAGACUGAAAAGCUGGACGUAGGAUAUGCAGCCCCGGUGCUUUGGAUUGACGACAUUCCUCCUGAGAUUCCCGAUAGCCGCCGCACGGCGGAAUCAAGAAUGAAGAGUAUACGGAAUAAAUUUGCCCGCGAAUCAGGAGACUACGAGACCUACUACCGUGCAGCCAUGGAGAAAAACUUUAGCGAAGGCUACGCCAGACGGCUCACGCCGGAAGAAAUCCAGCAGCGCCCGACGAAGUAUUUUCUCCCGCACUUUGGAGUGCCAAAGAAGGCUGGGCGGCCUGAGUUACGUCUCGUAUUCGAUGCUGCUGCAAAGUCGAACGGCAAAUGUUUAAAUGACUUUGUCACCAGUGGUCCGGCGCUGCAGAACCCCUUACCGGCCGUGUUGAUCCGUUUCCGGGAAGGAGAGAUUGGCUGGUCAGCCGAUAUUGGUGCAAUGUUUAGCCGGAUUCGUUUGAAGGAUGCUGACCGUCCGUACCACCGAUUCCUAUGGCCCGAAGUGGAUGGAACCAUAUCGACAUGUGAGAUGACCAGAUUGACUUUCGGUGUAACGUGCUCGCCCUACGUCGCCAUACGAACCACUUGGCGCGCAGCAGACGAUGCUGGACCGGAAAUGAAGGAGGCGGCCGAUGACGUGCGAGAAGACAUCUACGUCGACGAUUACCUGGCCUCGACUAGCAGACUUGAGGAUGCCGUAAGGAGAGCCACCGGUGUAAAUAAGGUCCUAGCAGACGGCGAUUUCCACCUGGGGCACUGGGUGUCCAAUAGCAGCCAGCUUUUAUCAGCAGUCCAGCCGGAUUCGGACAAUGGGACCACUGUCAAGACCCAAGUGCGCAGCAUUAGUGAUGACCCAGAGUUGAUCCUUGGAAUUGUGUGGAAUCCUUCGACUGAUCAUCUGGGAUUCCGAGUGAAAGUGUCCCGUGUGAAUUACACCAGAGUGGGGUUACUUGCCCAAGUGGCUGGUUUGUUCGAUCCCUUGGGCACGGCCGCCCCGAUGACUGUUAAAGCCAAGAUUAAAUUGCGGGAAUUGGGCGUGAAAGGACUUCAGUGGGAAGAUCCAGUGGUUGGUGACGAAAAGGAGUGGUGGGAAGAGUAUUUCCAGAAGAUCGGACGUUUGAAGGAGAUCGAGCUGCCCCGCUGUCUCUUCCCAAAGGCGGAAGAAAUAGUCCGGACCGAAUUGCACACUUUCGCGGACGCGUCGGAAGAGGCGUGUGCCGCGUCCUGCUACACCCGUGUGGUUUAUCAGGAUGGCCGAGUGCUGGUCCGGCACAUCAAGACAGCGACGAAGCUUGCUCCUUUGAAAACAGUUUCCGUUUGUAAACUAGAGCUCAACGCUGGGCUCAUGGGCGCCCGUCUGGCUAAGUUUGUCCAAACGGCCCUGAAAAGAAAAAUGGAUUGCCGAUACUUCUGGACCGACAGCAGCACGGUCCGGAAUUGGGUCCGGGCCGUGUCCUCCCACUACCAAGUUUAUGUCAGCCACCGGAUCGGUGAAAUUCAAACCCUCACUGAGCCUCACGAAUGGCGUUUCGUUCCUGGACGUUUAAAUCCGGCCGACGCUGCUACCCGAUCGCAGAUGGAAGAAGAAGAAAUCCCAAGUUGGUGGUUAGAUGGUCCGCCUUUCCUUUAUGAAGAGGAGCCGGCCUGGCCAAAGGACUUGCCAUGGAUGGCCGCAAAGGAAGAACUCCGGUCUGUCCACGUCCAUCUGAAUUCCACAGCCGUGGAGCCGCCGACCGUGUUCAAUUGGAAAGACGUCAAGAUCUCAGCCCAAGAUAUUCCGGCCCUAAUCCGGUUGGAAGGAGAAUUCCUGAAUCUCGUGAAACAGAGUCAACGAGAAGUGUAUUCUGAAGAGCUGAAAAGAUUGCAGCAGACGAAGCCGCUCCGCUCGACCUCGCCGUUGCUGCCGCUUACACCUUUUCUGGACGAAUCUGGAGUAUUGCGACUUGGAGGUCGGUUAAGCCGGGCCAAGUUGCCCUACGAUGUCAUGCACCCUCCAUUACUGUCCGGAAAACAUCCGCUUUCUCGGAUGAUCAUCCGAGCGUUUCACGACAGCAUGCAUCACCUUGGCACGGAUUUUGUAUUAUCUCACGUUCGACAACAUUUUUGGGUGACGGGCGGACGAGAAUUGGUUAAACGUGUCCGCAAUGAAUGUGUGCCGUGCCGUCGAUUUCGUCCGAAAGCAGCUCUGCAAAUGAUGGCCGACGUCCAUCGAGCUCGCUUGGGCGCCGGUCAUCCUCUUUUCACCUACACGUCGGUGGACUAUUUCGGACCAAUAGACGUGACACACGGUCGUGGAACAGCAAAGAGAUGGGGCGUACUUUUCACGUGCAUGGUGACCAGAGCAGUUUAUGUAGACAUUGCAAUUUCCCUCUCCGCCAGUGAUUUUUUAAUGGUGCUCCGACGUUUUAUAUCAGUGUAUAGAAAGCCGGCGCAUAUGUUCUCGGACAAUGGCACGAACUUGACUGGCGCUGAACGUUUAUUACGUGUGGAGUUGGAUCGGCUGAAAGAUGACAGUGUGCUGACCACGGAGUUGAAAGCGCUCCGGAUCGAAUGGUUUUUCCAACCAGCGCAAACGCCACAUUUUGGAGGCUCACAUGAGUCAUUGGUGCGAUCAGUGAAAAACGCUUUCUAUGCCGCGUUGGAUCAAGAGAAGAGUGUAUUGCGUACACCCAGUGACGAAGUUCUGCGCACUCUUCUUUUUGAAGUUUCCGGAUUGUUAAACUCUCGGCCUUUGACUUAUUGCAGCUCCGACCCGGACGACUUUCGUGCGUUAACCCCAAACGAUUUUCUUAAUCGAGCUCCUGUAGCUGAUUUGCCGGCCGGAGAUUUUAACAAGGCCCUUCCGCGUGAUCAUUAUGGAUACGUCCAGAGAAUAACUAAUUUCUUCUGGGACGUGUGGCGCGGAUCUUUCCUGCAGUCGAUGACCAGCCGGAAGAAAUGGAGAACACCCGCGCGGAACUUUGCCGUCGGUGAUUUCAUUUUGGAUGAUUGGAAGAAUGCUCCGCGCGGGCGUUGGAGAACCGGCAAAAUCGUCAAGGUCUACCCCGGUGCCGACGGAUUAGUCCGAGCAGCAGAUGUGGAAUUCUCUACCGGAAUCCUGCGACGUGGGACAAAUCAGCUGGCUCUGCUAGAAGCUUACUCGCCGGAUCCAGCGACGGAGGCGACAGAAUCCGGCUCGGGGGAGAAUGGAGCCGCGAUUUGAUUGUAUUAAUUUUAUUGCAGGUCCAGAUGGCGUUACAGACCGCUUUUUUAUUGUUUUAGGCCGUUGGCCCUCUAAUUGUUGCAUAGAGGGCAGGCCUGUAGUCAUUGAGUUUUAGGCCUGAAAUUACGGCCGUUUAGUAAUCGUCUGUAGCUGUCAGUUGACAUAUUGCGUCUUGACUUUUACUCUUCUUUGAUGUGAAUCUUUGUGCUUUUCCGUGGCUUUUAAAGGAUAAGGAUUGCCCGGAAUUUCAUGUUGCCUGUCUGUAGACUUGAAUUGAGGUGCAUGAGAAGCACAUGUGGAAUUGACACUAUUUGUCUUCCCAUUGAGUUGAAAAGGCCUGCGUUGCAGGAUUGAGUAUUGACUCACCCAAGCCUGGUCACUUCCAGGAUUGGUGAUAGCUUUUGAAUUGUUGUUUUGACACAGUGUGCCUUACACCCACACUUUGACGUGUUUUGAAGUGAAAUACAGUCCACUUCCUACCACCGA
rnacentral:misc_RNA from 1 species